rnacentral:rRNA from 1 species
UACGAAGGGUGCAAGCGUUACUCGGAAUUACUGGGCGUAAAGCGUGCGUAGGCGGUUUGUUAAGUCAGAUGUGAAAGCCCCGGGCUCAACCUGGGAAUUGCAUUUGAGACUGCGUAGCUAGGGUGCGGAAGAGGGAAGCGGAAUUUCCGGUGUAGCGGUGAAAUGCGUAGAUAUCGGAAGGAACACCAGUGGCGAAAGCGGCUUCCUGGUCCAGCACCGACGUUCAGGCACGAAGCGUGGGGAGCAAACAGG